rnacentral:sRNA from 1 species
UAAAACAAACUUACAUGGUGGUUAACCAC